UACGUAGGGUGCGAGCGUUAAUCGGAAUUACUGGGCGUAAAGUGUGCGCAGGCGGCUUCGCAAGUCGAGUGUGAAAUCCCCGAGCUUAACUUGGGAAUUGCGCUCGAAACUACGGAGCUGGAGUGUGGCAGAGGAAGGUGGAAUUCCACGUGUAGCGGUGAAAUGCGUAGAUAUGUGGAGGAACACCGAUGGCGAAGGCAGCCUUCUGGGCCAACACUGACGCUCAUGCACGAAAGCGUGGGGAGCAAACAGG
rnacentral:rRNA from 1 species